AGGGUUCGAUCAUGGCUCAGAACGUACGCUGGCGGCACGCCUAAUACAUGCAAGUCGAACGAAGUAGCAAUACUUAGUGGCGAACGGGUGAGUAUAAUGUGGGUAUCUGCCUUUUGGUGAGGAAUAACACGAGGAAACUUGUGCUAAUACCUCAUAAGCCUUCACAGGGAAAGUUUUAACGCCAAAAGAUGAGCCCGCACUUGAUUAGCUAGUUGGUAAGGUAAUGGCUUACCAAGGCUACGAUCAAUAGCUGAUCUGAGAGGAUGAUCAGCCACAUUGGGACUGAGACACGGCCCAAACUCCUACGGGAGGCAGCAGUAGGGAAUCUUGCACAAUGGGGGAAACCCUGAUGCAGCGAUGCCGCGUGAGUGAAGAAGGCCUUUGGGUUGUAAAGCUCUUUCGUCGGGGAAGAAAAUGACUGUACCCGAAUAAGAAGGUCCGGCUAACUUCGUGCCAGCCGCCGCGGUA
rnacentral:rRNA from 1 species